rnacentral:rRNA from 1 species
GAUGAACGCUGGCGGCGUGCCUAACACAUGCAAGUCGAGCGAAGCACUUUGCUUAGAUUCUUCGGAUGAAGAGGAUUGUGACUGAGCGGCGGACGGGUGAGUAACGCGUGGGUAACCUGCCUCAUACAGGGGGAUAACAGUUAGAAAUGACUGCUAAUACCGCAUAAGACCACAGCACCGCAUGGUGCGGGGGUAAAAACUCCGGUGGUAUGAGAUGGACCCGCGUCUGAUUAGCUAGUUGGUAAGGUAACGGCUUACCAAGGCGACGAUCAGUAGCCGACCUGAGAGGGUGACCGGCCACAUUGGGACUGAGACACGGCCCAAACUCCUACGGGAGGCAGCAGUGGGGAAUAUUGCACAAUGGGGGAAACCCUGAUGCAGCGACGCCGCGUGAGCGAAGAAGUAUUUCGGUAUGUAAAGCUCUAUCAGCAGGGAAGAAAAUGACGGUACCUGACUAAGAAGCACCGGCUAAAUACGUGCCAGCAGCCGCGGUAAUACGUAUGGUGCAAGCGUUAUCCGGAUUUACUGGGUGUAAAGGGAGCGUAGACGGAUGGGCAAGUCUGAUGUGAAAACCCGGGGCUCAACCCCGGGACUGCAUUGGAAACUGUUCAUCUAGAGUGCUGGAGAGGUAAGUGGAAUUCCUAGUGUAGCGGUGAAAUGCGUAGAUAUUAGGAGGAACACCAGUGGCGAAGGCGGCUUACUGGACAGUAACUGACGUUGAGGCUCGAAAGCGUGGGGAGCAAACAGGAUUAGAUACCCUGGUAGUCCACGCCGUAAACGAUGACUACUAGGUGUGGGGGGGCAAACCCAUUCGGUGCCGCAGCAAACCCAAUAAGUAGUCCACCUGGGGAGUACGUUCGCAGGAAUGAAACUCAAAGGAAUGGACGGGGACCCGCACAAGCGGUGGAGCAUGUGGUUUAAUUCGAAGCAACGCGAAGAACCUUACCUGCUCUUGACAUCCCGCUGACCGGACGGUAAUGCGUCCUUCCCUUCGGGGCAGCGGAGACAGGUGGUGCAUGGUUGUCGUCAGCUCGUGUCGUGAGAUGUUGGGUUAAGUCCUGCAACGAGCGCAACCCCUAUCUUUAGUAGCCAGCGGCCAGGCCGGGCACUCUAGAGAGACUGCCGGGGAUAACCCGGAGGAAGGUGGGGAUGACGUCAAAUCAUCAUGCCCCUUAUGAGCAGGGCUACACACGUGCUACAAUGGCGUAAACAAAGGGAAGCGAGACCGCGAGGUGGAGCAAAUCCCAAAAAUAACGUCUCAGUUCGGAUUGUAGUCUGCAACUCGACUACAUGAAGCUGGAAUCGCUAGUAAUCGCGAAUCAGAAUGUCGCGGUGAAUAAAAGCCCGGGUCUUGCACU